rnacentral:rRNA from 1 species
UACGUAGGGGGCUAGCGUUGUCCGGAUUUAUUGGGCGUAAAGAGCGUGUAGGCGGCCAGGUAGGUCUGGUGUGAAAACUCGAGGCUUAACCUCGAGAUGUCAUCGGAAACCAUCUGGCUAGAGUCCGGAAGAGGAGAGUGGAAUUCCUGGUGUAGCGGUGAAAUGCGCAGAUAUCAGGAAGAACACCGGUGGCGAAAGCGCUCUGCUAGGCCGCAACUGACACUGAGGGACGAAAGCUAGGGGAGCGAAUGGG